AUUAAGACUCUCGGCAACGGAUAUCUCGGCUCUUACAUAGAUGAAGAAGGUAGCGAAAUGCGAUACUUGGUGUGAAUUGCAGAAUCCCGUGAACCAUCGAGUCUUUGAACGCAAGUUGCGCCCGAGGCCUUCGGGUCGAGGGCACGCCUGCCUGGGCGUCACGCC
rnacentral:rRNA from 1 species